rnacentral:lncRNA from 1 species
CAUCGCCGGCCUCGCUUGGAUUGUUGGGUAUAUUUUGGAAGUGUGCCAGAAUUGGUGAACGGAAGAGUCCUUAUGUUGAAGUAUGCUGUAUAGUAAUGGCCUUCAGCAUCCUCUUCAUACAGUAGCUGGGGAAAAUGCCAGAAUUUAAUUGCCAUCAGAUUUCAUUGUGAACAAGGACUUACUGCAGAAAAUAAUGGAAAGGAUGUUUAACUCUUUUAUCUCCGAACAUUGAAUGAGAUAAAUUUCCAGAUGCUGUUCUCUAUUUUAAUGUUAUUGGACCAAUAUUCUGUAUAAAUAAUUAAGAUGUAACCAUUUAAUAGUCUGUAACAAUGAACCUCAGUA